rnacentral:lncRNA from 1 species
GUUUUUUUUUUUUUUUUUCCGGUGUUUAACUGUUUUCUGUUUGUGAAAAAGCUAUAAAAUUUAUUUAAUGUUUAAAGAUAGAUUUUUGUACAUUCUGCUAAAUAUUUAUACAUCCAUACGCAAUGUUUGUCAUUUGAUAUUUCUAGUACCACAUGUUGAUCAGUCUCCUGGAUUCUAAUGUCUGUUAUUGAAGGAAGGUGCUUUGCGCAAAUAAAUGAACUUUGAGCUUUUCCCUAGCUUUUUUGCUGCUUUUUUGCUGCUGUGUUCCUUUGUAGUUGAUUUUGCAGAGGCACGAUCAUGUGCUUUUGUUGUGAAUUUCUAUCUCACGUUGCUUCUGUUCUUCACUAAAUCUUGUAGUUCUACAUGAGGACUGGAAAUUGCAAAUUUGGUGCUUCCUGCAAGUAUCACCAUCCAAGGCAAGGAAGUGGAUCUCAAACACCAGUGAAUCUUAAUUUUUUUGGGUACCCUUUGCGACCGGUCUGUACUUUGUGCCUUUUCCUUCUUGAUGUCUUAUUCAUUUUUAGCCUUUUGAUUAUCAAUAUUUUUCACGUAUCCUUCUGACCUAGCUCACAAAGUUCUUGUCACAGGGUGAAAAGGAAUGCUCAUAUUAUGUGAAAACAGGGCAGUGCAAGUAUGGUGUCACCUGUAAAUAUCAUCAUCCACAGCCAGCCGGUGUUCAAAUGCCAGCACCAGCGCCUGGACCUGGACCUGGACCUCUGCCUGCACCAGCAACUGUACCCGCGCCUGCUAUUUAUCCUCCUGUGCAAUCUCCUUCUGUGCAAUCAUCUCAACAGUAUGGUGUAGUGCCUGGAAACUGGCCAGUUCCAAGGCCUACUCUAUUUCCAGGUUCAUACAUCCCUGGUACAUAUGGUCCUAUGCUGCUUCCCCCAGGAAUGGUUCCUCUUCCGGCUUGGACUUCUUACCCAGUAUGUGCAUUUGAGCCUGUUUGUUUUGUCAAAAUCUUUUCAUAUUUGUCCUCAUUAAAGUGUAUUGACUAAUGUAAACUUUUGUAGACACCUGCAAGUCUUGCAGCCACUGCAAGUAAUCAACCUGCUAUGGGAGCUGGCCAUAUUUAUGGAAUAACUCAGUUGUCUCCUUCAGCUCCAGCAUAUACAGGACAGUAUCUAUCCAUUCCACCUGCUGCUGGUCCUUCAGGAAGCAGCCAGAGGGAACAUGCUUUUCCAGAAAGACCUGGCCAACCUGAAUGCCAGUAUUACAUGAAAUAUGGUGACUGUAAGUUUGGGGCUUCUUGUAGAUAUCAUCACCCGCCUGAAUUGAGUGCACAGAAGGCAAAUCCUGUCCUUAGCCCCAUGGGUCUACCUCUACGUCCGGUAUGCCUUCUCAAAUUGACACUUAGCUGGGGUUAUGUUUCUGUCAUUUGAAAUUGUGUGGAAGUUGCAAUUCCUUGCCCAAAAAUUUUUAGUUAGUUCAUUUUAUUUUUCUAAUUAACAUUAGCAAUAUAUCUACAUGUGCAUAUGUUGAAAGUCUCUUUUUUUUAGGCAUGAAAUGUUUCAUUGAUGUUUUCGUAAUAAUGCAAGCUGUAUUCACUUAGAUCGAUGGAACACAGGAAGUUCCCUCUUCCUGUUAUUCCUGCUCUUUCUUCUUGUGUAUCGACUAUUUUUCCAUGCAAACAUUCUUACUUUGAAUCUUGUUAAGCUAAAAUUACUUCUUAUUCUCUCUGGGACACAUCUUAGUUGUGAGGAUACUGGUUUAUCCAUGGAUGGUUGUACCUUUUUUUUAACUUUUGACAAUCAGUAAGUUGUCCAUUUUAUUUUCUCACUAGCUUGGGCAUUUUGAAAUGUUCAGCAUGCAUGAAUCUGAGAUUCAUUUCAAUUUGUUUGGUUGAUACAGCUUUAGAUGCACACUGGAUUUUAUGUAAUUCCAGGUAUGCAUAUUUGUUGUCCAUCUCCAUAUCCCCAGUGUCUUGGUUUUGCCCCCUUUCACUGUUUGAUGUAUCUGCAUCCAGUGCUUUGUGCUAAUUUUUUUCCCCUUGUCAUGUCAAUUACCCUGAACUACAAAAAACUUAUAAAGAAAUUAUUUAUCAAAAAGGAGGAGAAAUUACUUGUAUAGUAAAUCUGGCUUAUCAGCAUACACCCAUAUAGUAGCACUAGGUGGUAAAUGGUUAUUAUGCUUCCUUUAAUAAGUUUACUAUAUGAUUAGUGGUGUAUGAUCAACAAUCAUAAAUAUAAAAUUAUCAGUUUAUGGUCUGAGCUAUAGCAUUUCAAGGGACACCAGAAGCUGCAGAUUGUUGUUGCAGCUGAAAACAUUAUCUGUUACCUUUUUUUUAACUUCUGAAAACUGCUGGGUUUGAAUUCACUGGUUAUUUUUUGUUUAUUUUUUUCACAGCACUGUUUAUUGAAAGAUUGUUAAAUAUUUGUAGGUGAAAUCCAUCCAGGACUUAACUGUCUUUUCUGCAUGAGAUUGCAGAGAAAUAUGGUCAAGUAAUAAAAUGGUUGAUAAAUCAGAACUAUUAUGAGCGGAAUAGACCAACCUGUGACCUUUGUUGCGAGAAGGAUGUGGUAAUUUGAAGUUGAAUAAAAAAGUAACUAUGUAGCAGUAAGUAACAAUUAGGAGUUGAAGCAAAGUAGUCAAUGCAUUCAUAAAUUCUUGAGAUUACAUAGUGUAAAGCCCCAAUAGAAUGAGUCUGAUAAAGCUUUCUAAGCUUACAAUCUCAUAUGCAAGAUCAUUCAUGUGAGUUGGAAAGAAAGUUGAGCUUUUUUUUCCCCUAAAAAUUGUUUAUGUUAGGCUAAGUGUUUUUUCAUGCCAAGGAUGAUGGUAAACUUUUUAGUUAGGAUGCCAGUAGAGGAUGGAAAUUUUGCUUCGAGAGAGUAUAUCUGAAGUUGUUUGCAUGCUUGAUACUUUAUGAUGUAAUAUUAGUUUCCAUUUUCUUGGUUGAGAGUGUAUGUAAAGCAGUCAAUUUGUGUUUAUCUUCACAGGUAUAAGCUGCUACGGUAGGUGCUUGCAGCUUCCUAAAUAAUCGCCUAACAUGUUUAUUUUUGUAACAGUUUCUACCCGUAAUUGCUGAUUUAUAUCGCAACAUCAUACAUGAGCUAGGUCCUUCUAUGUGAUCUUGUGGUUUGAAACUCAUGCUUGACUAGUUGCUUAUCUAUGGAGAAGUCAAAUGUGCUCAUAAAGCUUUAAUUUUCCAUUUUAUUUGAUCUGCCACUGCAUAUUGCUGGUAUUAUUUAACACAUUUUAUCUGGAAAAGGAGUACACAAAAAGCUUCUUAUUAUGCAUAUAUUUGGCAAGUGGGGUGUAGUCAGUUUAAAUGCUGGGAACUCACUCUUAUGAAUUAGAUAUAAGCACCAGAAAAUCAUGUGCAGCUCAUGAAUGAUUACCUGUUUAUGUGGUCUCCUUUUUCUUUCUUCUACAAAAUUUUUAUUGAGGGCUUGGCAGUCGGGAGGGUUGGAGCAAGAAGAGGGUAUAGGUUGGAGGGGUAUUUUCAUUGAGGGACAAUCCGUGACAAAAGUUCUUGUCUUUGUUUUCCAUUGGAACAAAGAAUUUCUUUGGACAUCUUUUUGCUGUUCAAAUUGUUUUCAUGGCAAAACUCUUCUUUUAGUUGCCAAGUUAUCGUUGUUAAUCUUUAAUCUGUUCUUCUACUGUACAUUAUUGACCUGUGACUACAAUAUUCUGUUAUUUUUCUUCUGAUAUACCUUGGUACUGCUCACUUACUUCCCCUUCUGAUUCUUAGAUAAAUGCAUGAAGAGUAGAUCAAAACAUAGUAACUGAAACAUAGAAGCACUUGGAUUAGCAGUGAUUCUUCUAAAUUUGGGUAUGCUGUAUGAGGACUCUUGAUGUUCUAAGGUCUUGAGAUGCAAAUAGACACUCGAAGAAUCCACCCUCACGUUCAUAUUCUUUCUAGCUUUUUCCAUAGACCUAGAAACUGUGAAAAUUGCAGUUCUCUUGCUAUUUUUCCUUCAAGAAGCUUUCUUUUUUCUUAGGAUAAGCUUCUUUUGACUGAUUCUUAUGCAGUGAUUCUUCUAAAUUUGGGUAUGCUGUAUGAGGACUCUUGAUGUUCUAAGGUCUUGAGAUGCAAAUAGACACUCGAAGAAUCCACCCUCACGUUCAUAUUCUUUCUAGCUUUUUCCAUAGACCUAGAAACUGUGAAAAUUGCAGUUCUCUUGCUAUUUUUCCUUCAAGAAGCUUUCUUUUUUCUUAGGAUAAGCUUCUUUUGACUGAUUCUUAUGUUCAUUAUAAUUUCCAUAGGGUGCGGCUGUCUGUUCUCACUAUUUACAAAAUGGAGUAUGCAAAUUUGGGCCUUCGUGCAAGUUUGAUCACCCAAUGGGGACUCUAAGCUAUAGUCCAUCUGCAUCUUCUCUUGCUGAUAUGCCUGUUGCUCCUUAUCCAGUUGGAUCUUCAAUGGGUACUUUGGCUCCAUCAUCCUCCUCAUCGGACUUGAGGCCUGAACUUAUUUCUGGAUCCAGCAAGGAUGCCUUCUCCAGCCGAAUGUCUUCUGUGAGCGCUUCCAGUGGUUCUGUUGGUUCAUUGUUUUCAAAGAGCAGUAUAGUCCCUCAUUCAAGCACUCAGCAGCCUGGACAGGGAACCUCUACUUCAAGCGGCAGCAGUAGUACAGUACAUGGAAGUGAGGUUCGCACGUCAAGCUGAGCAAAGUGAAGCUAAGCAAUUACAAUCUUUUUUUGUGGAUAACUCUCAUGGACCCAGUGAUAUAUUUUUUAUGCAAAUCACUUCCUAGGGGGCUGUUUCUCAUUAGUCAUCAUGGUUCCAUCAAUCAGGUCUAGGAGAUUGUAGCUCUGUUAAUCUGUGUUCAUAUAUCAUUACAUGGCCACCAUUUCCAUUUUCAAUAAGCCAUGCCCACCUCAAAUGAUCCAGCAAUCUUGGUAUAGCUUCUUGCUGGUUCUGAAUAACAAGAAAAUACCCACCUCACAUUUAGAAAUUCUACACCCCAGCCCAAAUUUUGGAGCUUGUUGUCAGUUGUCCCCAUUUAUAUUGGAAUCUUUUUCGGAACGAAAAAGAUCAGUUUCAUAUUAUUCUUCUUUCAAAUUUGACUGCCUUCAUGGCCAUCUUCAAAUUUGGAAACAAGCUUCCAACUUGACUUAGGAAUGAACACCAGUAUCUCCUUGUUACCCCCUUUUUGUAUGGGGCUUUGUUGUGCAAAUUAUCACAUAAGGGAACUGCAAGAAGGCAAUGUAAAACUGCCUUAAUAUGUAUAAAUUAUAUGGUUAUGUUGUGAUAUGAACAGGCUGAACGCUUCUCGAUAAUUUAUCUUCAAUACAUCUGAUAAAUGAAGAUACAUCUUUGACAAUGUAAGAAUUUCUAUUUUCAUUCUUCCUUUGUUUAUGAGGAGAUGGUUGCCUCGUUUGUGCUUGUACUAUAAUUUAUGGUCAACCCUCGGAAAUAAAGCAUCUGGGAUUUGGGUCAGGUAAUGGCAUGUACAUUUUUGCACAUCGGAACUUGCAAGUAUCACAUCCAUGGCUUCCUCGUUUAGCCUGAUUAUAUGUGCUUAACAUAAGGUAAUGUUGAACGGGCUUUGGGAGCCUUUUACUUCUUCAGUUGGAAGUUGAGUCCAUGGUUGCAAUGAGUUAUAAAACUGAUUUAUUUAUUUAUUUAGUUUUUAUAUUUAUUACGUACAGAACUGCUUUCUUAUUGGGGUGUUGUUGCACAAACCCACAGAGUCGCCGUAUAAGCUUGGUGUUCCUCCUGGUUUUCAUCGAGGAUGUAGAAAAAUUUCCAACUAAUUUCCCAACCAAGCUCUCCCUUGAAAGUAACAUAUGUAUGUAUAGUUUCUAAAAUUUUGGGUUAAACAAGGGUCUGCAGCAUAACAUGCAUGCUUAAUACUGCACAAGCACUGGGAAACAAGGCACUCUAUUAACUGUACGUAGAAGAUUUUGAAAAGACGUAGGUAACUUGUAUGGAAGGUGAUGGAUUUGGGUUUUACUGAUUCAACUAGACAAAUAGGAGGACACCUUUGGUCUGAAAGCAAAACUGGCACAGGAACUACAUCGAUCAAUCUUUGCAAAGUAUUGUCUGAUUCUUGCUUGUUGCACCCCCCAAAACCAGAAAAAAAAAACCUUAAAAGCGAGGCUAAAGUCUAAACAAGAAAUGGCCCCGGAUGUUUGUGGUUGCAAGUGGAAAUAGCGACCAACCUCCAAGGACCCUCUCUUUAAAGGGCAUGGAAAAAAGGGACUAUCACUUGGGAGGACGUCUUUUUCUUGUAUAUGCUUGCGGAGACAUGUCUUUGUUUGGCACAGCGAAUCUACCGCAGGGAAUGUAGGUUGGGUCUUUUACUUGGAUAGAGUUAUGUAUGUUCAUAUAUUCAAGGAAAUCGAGUGCAACCAAAACCCUUCCCGGAAUUUUAUCGUACUACUAGGGAAUUACGUAAAAUAAGAAGCUACGCUUGUCGUGCGCAAGAAUGGAAUGCAUGUUGCAUGACUGGCGAACGUAAAAAAAUGCCUGCCCUAGCCCUAGCGGAAAGAAACACUUAACGCCCUUUUCGGUUUUUUGCCUAUUUAUGAGCAAAUGAAGUUUGAACAACAAAACAUUAUCCGGCAAUCGAAAACAUUAUAUUAGUUUCUGAUAAAUAUAGGAAGCUCUAGAGUAAUUACAUUUUUCAUGCAAAGGUCAAAAGAAAAGAGCGAAGAAAACUGGAAAAUCAAGAAAGAGAAGCUGCAUGCAAGUUAAAAAGAGUUGUAACUUGGAGAAGUUAUAGCUCAACUCCAAGUCAGUAAGUUACGAGACAGCAUUGGAACUUAGAAUAGGGGAUAUCCCGAGUCAACAACAUCACCAAAUGCAAAUGGAGGAAAUACAGAGGAGAAGCCAGCUGAUGAUGUGGCUGCAGCCAUUGACUCGAGACUUGUAUUGUCCACGGUUGGAUCAUACCCCUCCAUGCAUCCAGUUUCACCCAUCAAUGGGUUGUUGAUCACUGCUGAAAGCUCACAAGAAUUCAUCUCCCAUGACUGCUCGUUUUCCAAGAAUCCAAAGUUAAGUCCUUCGUAGCACGAAAAGUUUCCAGGGUUUGUAGAAUCCACAGGAAGAACAUUAGUCACGUCAGCAUCAGAAUGUGAUUGAUUCUCUAAAACCCUCAAAUUUGAGUAAUUACUCUGGUCAACUGAUGUUUGAUCAGCAUUGCUGUUAUUUGAGUACUCUUUGUGAUGAGAUGGAGGCUUUAAGCAAUUAUCAGGAACUAUGCAGUCCAAGUAGCCUGAGUUGGUUUCACUCCCGCUAGAGAAAAAGAAGUUCUCACUAGGGGAUGAACCAUAAGAGGACUGAGAACAAGCGUCAUUGUCAGAUGAUAUUGGAUGCUCUCUGGCCUGAGAUGAAGAACUAGGAUGUUUAGUAGCAUCAUGUUGUUUAUUUUGGUUCUUGGUCAGCGAGUGCGAUGGCGGCAGUAUGGAUUGGAGAUCAAAAGGGCUGAUAAGAGAAUGGAAAUUUGUGUUAUCUGAGUAUACAAAAUUGGUUCUUGCUUGAGUCCCCUUCAUGGAAAGUGCUGCUCGAUCAUAAGCAAGGGCGGCUUCUUGAGCAGUAUCGAAUGUACCAAGCCAGUGCCUUUCUUUUGUGGUAGGAUCUCUGAUUUCAGCAGCGUAUCGGCCCCAAGGCCGCCUUCUAACGCCUAGGAACCUCCCUGGUUCUGCUUGCUUUCUGCGACCUCUUUUCUCACUAGGUUGGGAAACAGAAGUGUUUCUUUGUAGUAAAGUAAAUCCUGUUUGUGUAAGGAUUGGUUCAUAGAGAUUGAAGGGUUUUUCUGGGGUUUUGGAGGUGGACAUCGCAGAAAAGAAUGAAGAAGAUUAGGCCAGAGUUAGAGGCCUGGAGACUGUAUGAGAACAAAGGUUGUGUUAAGAGCUACAGCAGAAAUGCAGAGAUGGAAGGCUGUGAGAAUGUGUAGGAUGCAGUCCUUAGGAGUUAGGAGUGAGCUCUUUUAAAGACUCAUCUGAUCUCUCUUACAAUCAAAGGGGGCAAAAGGACACUGCAACAUGUCAUUCAUCUCAAGACCAUCUAGCUCUUUUUCAAAAUUUGUACUUUUCAGCAUUUUUAUGUUACUAUUAACUUUUUGUUAGUAUUCCAUUAACAUCAAAAUCAUUUGUUUUCGUAAAUAUAAAAUUGAGUAUUAUUGUUAGGAUGAAAAUGAAGAUUCUCUUAACUUUUGUCAAGCACAUGCUGACAUGCCGUGGUAAAGGUUCGAGAAUACUUCUAUGGAGCCAAGUAUUUCCAAAUAACAAUUGUUUUUUUUUUCCUUGGCUUCCCUUCCUGGGGUAGUCUCUCUAACUUCUAAUGUCUUGAUUUUGCUCAUACGCUUCCCUAAACUAAGAUUUAUAUUCCUUGUUCAUUUGCCUCGUGUAAUUACAGUAAUCCCUGUUUCCCCUUCACCUUUUGUUCAUUCGAUCAAUAUGCAUGCAUGCAUGACUAUUAAUUAAGUCACUGUGCCAACAUAAGGUUAAUUUAGUGAUCCUACAGAAAAUCAACCAGCUCAUGCAUCUCAAAAAACAUGUGGUGGAUGGUCACUUACUCAUUUUUAAAAAAGAAACUCAAAAGCAAAACUAGUUUAGUUGAGGAUGAAACAGAGAUAAGAAAAGAGCAAAGAAGUUUUUGUCUCCAUAUCCUUGAGAGUCUCGAACUAUUUGAAUUUGAAGGUAUCAAAAGUGGUAACUUCUAUUUAGUGUAGGGUUGCACAUGUUUAUCCGCGUUAUCUGCAGCAAGUUUCCUUCCACACUCUUUGUCUUCUCUAUAAAUUUUCAAAGGGAGCAGUUAAAGAUUAAGUUUAACUAAAAUGACUAGCAUAAGUUUGAGUGAGAUAUCGCAUUGGCCUGUGUAAUGGAAAUACUCUAUCACCAACAAAAUGUCAGUAUUCAACGACAAUAGAGGCAAUUCACAAGACCUUUAGGUCAAAAUACUUAGCCUUAUAUGCAUGUCAUUUCCCUAGGCUCUUUCCGCGUUAAAUCUUUCUACAUUGUUAUUAUUUGUCCAUAUACUGAUUGUGGUUUGCUUUGCCCAAGAAUGGGUUUUGGUGGCAAGCCAUUAGAGGUGGGCAGAAAAUGAUCUACUCAUCAAUAUCUCUUCAGGGAUCGUUUCUGAUACCUUGAGAAUGACCAGUAUGGACUGAAAUAAUGUAAGAAUUUUUGGGAAUUUCUAUCUUUUCUCAACCAAAGUCUUCUAAUCAAGUACGUUUCUUCAACCAUUAGUUCUUUUCGUUUUUCCCUUUGAACGGCUAAUCUUGAGGGAUUAUAACCAAUGUUGCCAAACCCAAACUAGAUUAAUUAUUGUUGGUUGAACUUCUUUAACUUGAUUUUUUUCUUGAACUAGAUACACACUGAAUAAUGAAGGCAAAUAAUAUAGUCUGAGUCCCCAUUCCAAGUUUUAAUGCAGUAUGAUGGAAUGGUCAAAGAAUGAAAUGCCUGUAAAAAGCAAUGCAAUUACUUAUCCAGACCUUGGCGUGACAAUCUGGGUGGAUUUCUUCGUAAUAAUAUAAACUGGGGCAGUUUGUAACGACGUCUGCUUAGGUUUUACUACAAGCUAACCAAGAGCAAAAUUCCCUAGGCCAAAAAAUUUUGUAAAAAAAAAAACAUUUUUUUUUUGGUCUAAAGGGACUAAGGGAGUCGUGGAUCUGUGUCCUUAUCUAAAAGGAAGCAUAAAAGGCUAUAGUCAAAAGAGCAAUCAAAAGGUUGAGGAAGACAUAGGAAGCCACAUGCCCUCAAAUAUAAACAAUUAGUGGGACACUAUCGCUCACUAAACCAUUUCAUCAGCAGUUCUAACAGGACACUCAUAACUUUUUCCGUAUUGAUUAAAGUUUCACAUGCCUAAUUGGCAUUGGGAACACCAUAAGCUAAUCAUAUAAUCAAACGGGUCAACCCCUUUUUAUGUCCCUAUCAUACCAGAAUUCUAUAGUGUUUGCCACUUGUUCCUCUUAAUGGUCUGUCCCGAAUUAUGAAAAGCAUAAAUGGUGGUAACAAAAACAAAUUGAAAAAUUGAGGACAAGGAGAGCAUAUUCAAUGCAUAAGUAGUUGAGUUUUAAUGAAAAACAGUCAUCAUCUUUUAGUCUUAUGACCUAGACAAAAUCUGGGACUCUUGACUGAUCCACUAUAAAAAUUACGUAUUCGAGAAUUGAAUAAAAACAGUGACUAGAAAGCAAUCUUGAGGUCAUUUCCCUAAUAGACCAAAAAAGUGUCAUAUCAGAAGAUAAUUAUGAAAAAUAAGGGAUUUUAUUUGUUUAUUUUCUUUUAUUAUGGUGAUGGAUGGAGCGGUCUCUGGAAAGUAGUAGUAACAAAGUUUGAAUUGAAAAUGAUGCUGGAUUAUGCCUUCCUUGUAUUAAAGGUAUGCCACAAGAAGUUUAGAAUUUGAAUUACAUGAAUAGUCGGUCAAGCCUCAUAUGAAAAGAUGUGAUCCACUUGGUAUUUAAGUACUUCAAGUUUAUUACUAAUAAAGUGCUAAAACUUAUUAGUACUGCUAGUAUUUGUUGGAUGGCAGCUCCUUAACAUGCAUGAAUUUAUUUGGAUCCCUUUUCUUGAAAAGUAAACACAAAAGUAUGGAAAAUGUCAAGUGAAGUGGGGGCCUCCUUCUUCCAUCCCUAAGUUCCAUCCUGACAAGAGAAACUUGUUUUGGUCAGAUUGGAAUUUUGCACAUUCUCCCAAACAUGAACAUGCACACACUUUUGUUGUAAGAUACUUAAGGUCACCCGGAAUUUGGGGAAAAAGAUUAUGACAUUCUAAGGACUAAGGACUCUCUGGGAGCCUUUGGACUUUGACGAGACUGAGGGGAAGGGAUCAAGGGAUUUUGUUUGUCUUUGACCGGCUCAGAAUUGAAUUCUUAUUUCUUUCCAAAGGAAAACUGAGCCCUCAACAAGGCUCCUUGAAGGGUUUUUCUUGUUCCUUUUUCUACUGCUUAAUCACAACAUUACUACUACAAUCCUGCAGCUGCAAGUAGCCAGGGGAAUAUCAGGGAUAUUGUUGCUCAGUUGUUGGGAUGGGUUGAGACAUGGUGUCUCAUAUUUCAACGUGGUACAGAUAUACAGACAGUGGAGAAGCCUCAUGUGACCAUAAAGACUGUUAGUGUUAGAUGAACGUAAACAGCUAAUUACACUUCUAUCAUGAGAGCUAUUGUGUAAAUUUCACAGUAAGACACAGGUAAACUUGAAAGAUUAGGACUGUGCAUAUUUCACCUCGGGCAUUGUAUGGUGACGCAUGAAAUUUGGCUAUUUAUCCUUCACCGUUUAUCUCCAAGAAGGGGGCAGCUCAAUAGAUCUAGCAAAACUUGAUUGGAUUGAAUUUUGAACUAACCAAUAAGCUAGCCAGUUCGUAUAACUUUCAAGUUUCGCCCCCUCAAGAUGAAAAUGCAGAAUAUGAAGGUGUCCAACGAGUAGCCAAUAGCCACUUGCAAAUUCAAUGAGGCGUGUCACUUCCCUCCCCUGCAACUUGUCCCAAUUAUUAGUUAAGACUUCAAGGCCUCGAGGCUUCAAGCAUGUACUUUUCUCGUACCAUUAUCGUGGGGUGGGGUGGGGAUGGGAGGCAAGAAUCUGCAAAUUCACUCAUCUGACUCUUAUCGGAUUUUGCGUGAGGAAGAGAAGAUAGCUAGUCCAUGAAUAGCCAACCCACUCAUGGUUCAAAGCCGUGGUCGCGGUCACGGUCGCGGCCCGGAACGUUCCACAUCGGUUUCGGCAUAUCGGUCGCGGUCUUGGUGAGAUGCAAAUUUUAAAGUAUUUAAUAUUCUAAAAAUUAUUAAUAAUAUAAAAAAAGUAUGCUAAACAAAAAUAAUAAAAAAUAGCAAAAAAAAUGGCCAAGUCAAUCCGUCACGGUGUAACUCGACCGAUUUCUCGUCUUGACUCGGGAUAACUCGGAGUGACUCGGUGUGACUCGGCCGAGUCAAUCCGUCGCGGUGACGUCUCGGCCGAUUUCUCGGCGAGUCAAGUAUUUCGGUAUCGUUUCGUCACGGUAUCGUAUCGGUAGGAGCCGAGACCGAGACGACUCGGCCGAGACUUCGAACCAUGAACCCACUUGAGACUCCAUGUCAAUUGGUAUUACUGUAGCAUUUGCAGCCUGAGUUCUUUCUUUCCUGAUUUCCGGUUUCCAUCCUUUUGGUCCCCUAUUUAACUGGAGAAACUACGACUACAAGUUCUUUUUAAAAAUUUUUUUUUUUCUAACAAAGAAAGAGUGAAAUUUAAGAAGUUGGAGGAGAAAGGGGUUUAAUUUUUGGAAUGCCUACAAGUUCUUUUGGUCCCCUAUUUUUUGUAAUUAUGUAUAUAUAUAUACAUAUAAAAUAAAUGUGCAUUUGAAUGAAGGAAAGCACACUCAAGAUCGAACGACGACUAAAGAAUUUCCAACAAGUCUAAUCAACAUAUACUAAGAAUUUUCUUGUUUGGAUUGCUUAUUUCUGUCAGAAAAUAUUGUCAUUUUCCGUGAUCACAUUUCACCUUUUUCCCUCACAUAUAUCAAAUCGCUACAGUAAUUUUUCCAUGAAAAAUGAUGGAAAAUGCAAUCCAAACACAAACAUUUCCAUAGGAACCAUGAGAGCUCAUCUGUUGGCCAAUUGCAAGUCUGCAACAGGUGCAAAUAGUUCCGCUCAAUCCCUUCCAAUUUUCUCUCUGGCAAGGAAGAUAACAAAAAAUAUCUGCCCAAGAUUUGAGGUACGGUGAAAUCACGUACGGAAGAUCAAAAUAAUUAAGUCCGAGGAAACACACAUCCGGAUUGUAUUACCAACCGUUCGUCGAACAGGAAGGAAGAAGCCAGCUAACUGUUGACUGCCACACAAGAGAUGGGCAUGGUGACGUGACACUCGAUACUGUUGCCAAGUAAUCAAGGGGGCCCACCCAAGCAGACGUGUCGGCUCCUUGGGAUUCCACGUCGGCAAGGAAGGACCUGCAAAAUACUGUACAUAGAGAGAAGGAAACGAAAAGAAAGAUUGCGUUGCAGAAUGCAGGGUUGACAGAGUUAAAUGCAUGUGUAUUUGUCGAGGGUUUGUGUACUUGGCUACGUGCCCUUGACAACUGAAUCAAGAGGGUUGAAGAAGCAGUAAAGAUUUGUUGAGGGUUUUUGUUGUACUUGUAGUUGGGUACGUGCCGAGAGAAUUGAAUCACAGAACUUAAAAGGAGGCAUGAAGAAGCAGUAAAGAUUUUGUGAUGGUGAAUGAAUCUUCAUUCAUUCUUUUCAAGUGUAGGUGAAAAGUCUUCAUGGGAAACGAAGUGGUACUGAAGGAAUUAUUGUCAACUUUCUUCUUCUCUUCUGAUCUUUUUGGAUCAGAUUGUCAAUGAGCAUUUUGCUUUUCAGAAAUAUGAUGGGGUUUUUUUUUUUUUUUAAUGCUAUAGGAGCAUUUAGGAUUUAACUUCAUAUUUCUCAGUUUGCUAAUUCAGAGGAUAACAACACAAUAUUUCGGCGCUCACUCUAAACUUCAAUGCUGAUCCCUCCAAUCCAUGCAUAUUUAACAUAGAACUUCUCUAUUAAAUGCAAUAUAUACUUGAAGAAUGAUAUCUUAAAUGAACAUUAUGCAUACCCUCUACGUUCCUGUUCGGAUAGAGUAUUAUUUGAAAUAUUAUUUAGAAUAAUUAUCGUAGUAUUUUUUUUGUGAUAUGAUGUAUGUGAGAUAAAAAGGUGAUUGAGAAUAUAAAAAGGUGAAUUAGGAAAUGUGUUUAUGAUACAAACGAAAUAUUAUUUGACAAAAUUGAGCUAUCCAAACACAAAUGUUUCAAAUACAAGGAGAGUACCAAGAUGACAUAGGUAGAGCUAUGGAGUCGGGAAUGGCAUUAGUUUUCAGGUCAUUACGAAUUAAUAAUGGGCUAACUAGUUCUUUGUAUGACUUCAGGUCAUUCUCGUUUUCCCGUGAAUUAGUAGCCGCGCGAGCUGAACAUAAUAAUAAUAUCAACUGUUUUUGACCAAAAAAGAGUGGGAUAUGAAAGCAAGAAUUAACACAGUAUCCGUCUUUAAUUUUCAAGGACCACAUUAUCUUAUUUUAGAUAUUCAGGACUCAUAUAAAAUUCUGGAGGUAUUUCAAGGAGAAUUUUGAACAAUUUGAAGCAUUUUCACUUUGGUAGGAAAGCUGAAUUGCACACGACACUGUAGUUCUUGGGGCGGCUGGAUUUCCAUCCCUACCGAAGCAUGAAAUUGUAGCUGCAUAAUUCUUGAGGCUGGGAACUUUCAUAAUUCAUGCGGCCAAUGCUUGUUGCUUCUCUUCUUUUCUUUCAUUGGGCCUGUUGUUUCUUUGCUCAAAUGAAAUUUAGAUGCUUCCCCAUUCUUUGGUAUCUCCAUUCCAAGUCUACUUCGAUCACAAAGUCAUUCAGCUCAAGAACACAAAUCGAAAGGAUAAUAUUCAUCUCCCCUUUCUUAUGCAUCAAUACUCCUUGUUACCCAAAAAAAAAAAAAAGACAAAAAUGAUGACAGUCAGCCAUAGAUAUACCACUAAAUACUUGACAAAACACAAGCUGAAAUGAGAGGAAGAAGAGUGCUUAAUUAUCAUUGUUACAACAGGUAUCUAGUGUGACCGAUAUAUUGUAAAUUGUUUGGAGUUACUUCAGCAGAUCUUCUGAACAAUUUCUAAUUAUCUAAGGCCAAGGUGGUGAUCAAGUCAGAAAAGAUGACUCGUUUAAAUUAUUAGAGUAAGCUGGAUUAUAUCCAGCUGAACACGACAAACAAUACAAGGAGAGACCGGCAAAUCGAAAUCCAGACUGGAUUUUAAGUGCCAAACACUACAUUUACAACAUUGACGACUUCUCAAUCUGGCCAGACCUGAAUGCGAAGCUCAGAAAUGAACCAAGCAAUCUAGCACGAACCAUGAUCCACUCUUACAAUGGCUUAAAAGGCGACGUCAUCAAGCUCCCUGGUAAUAAAAGCAUGUGCAGCAAAAUCUGCCUCCGCAUCAGCAUACCUUUUUGUGUAAAACUCUUAAGUACAUUGUAGGUUUGAAUCUGUAAUUUACAACUACAUGAUGAUUCUGCAUAUCCAAAGAUUCAACUCAUCAACCAUUGAAUACAACAAUUUAAGGAACUCAAAAGCCAACUGCUUCAUUGUCUAUACCACUAAUAUGAAUGUAAUCCUGCUUCUAUUCGUACAUGGGCAGCCACAGAAAGCAUCACCUCGAGAGUGAACUUUAGCUGUCUCACACAAAUUGAUAAAAGAAUCAAUGAGUACUGCUUUCAUAUUCCUCCAAUCAACCAUUAAAGGGAAAAGCAUUAAACAGCGUGAGCUUACUAUUGCCCGAAGCUACAGAUGAUGGCACUAUUUUACAAGUGCCCCAGAUUUACCUGCGACUAUUCCCGGCAUUUCCUAGCAAUGAUACAGCUUGAGUGGACGAUAUCAACAAAGAUCAUUUAACUGAAUCUUCCGCCCACUUCCUCACACUUGAGGGACCAGCAUUGUCAGGAGCAUCGUGCCAUACCAACUCCAUCUGGAAGGAUAGAGGAAAAUAUAUACUUGUAAAUACUUUGUUAUGAAAUCAAGUAUGAAGAACAUUUACAGAUGAGGUUUAUCCUCUCAAUGCACUUCAACUGAAUCUUAUAAAAAUUGAAGAAGAAAACUAUAGAAAUAAAAAACAUGCUAAAGAUGAGAAGGAAAAAGAAAAAAUAAUUUCAACUUACAUCCCCAACAAAAACAGUGUGACCUUCCUUCACACCAAGUCUGAUGAGAGACUUAUUCACACCACAUGCCUCCAGAACAUGUUGAAACCUUUUCGCAGAAUCUAUGUAUCUGCAAAAGGAACAAAUUGAUUAAUAUCAAACAGCAUUUUGGAUGAAAACCAUUAUCUUGAAUUAUACAUAUCAUGGCUAAUGUGUAUAGUAGAUUCAAGACAUAGCAUGGGGACAGGAACUUUAGCAUGCCAACACAGAAGCACGUACUUAAAUGGUUAGACAAAGACAUAUAAAGCAUUAUGACAUGGUAGAUGUAGGUUCCUUCUAUCUGACUAUGUGUCCUGAGGGGAGGUGGAUGCCCUUGAUCUGUCCAGCAUGAUAGUUCCAACAAAGUUUUUUUUUUGUUGUUUUGGGGGGGGGGGGGGGGUGUUGGCAAACACAAUGACUUGACAGUAAUGACCAACAAGCUUGGUACCUCCAGUUUGUCAUUUGGACAAAGCGUUGUAAACCUGAUCCUGUAACAUGCCAUGUAUUGCUAUCACUAUCAUGGGAGAUCUCAAAUUCAUUUAUUGGAGCAGUUUGCUGCUUUUGCACCAUAUCAGCCACAUGGUUUAAAUUUACCGAACCAGUUGCACCUGAAUUAGAAGGUCUAGUGGUUAGAGCAUAUAAAAUUGCAGUGACAAUCAAAAGUGUAAAUUUACACAACAGGGAAACAAGAGUUCAAGGGGCAGGUUGGGCAAGCACCAAUUAAGAUUCUAGCAAUUACUCAGAAUGAGAACUUAACAUGGAUUUCUGACCUUCUUUACUGACUUCUCUUACUUCCUUAGCAAGUCUAUGAGCAGCACAUAUCACUUCUUGCGUUCCUUCACUCUUCACUGCACUCAUACAAAAAGGUUCAAUCUCACAAGAACGUAAUUUUUCUCUGAAUGAUAUCCAAUUUUCACAUGCUUCUGGAAGAUCCAUCUUAUUAAAUGCAACUACAUAAGGCUUUUCAGCAAGUUCAGGACUGAACAUUUCCAACUCUAGACGAACUGCAUCAAACUCAUACUCUGGUUGCUCCGAUGAGCCAUCAACCAUGUGCACCUAAUCCACCAGAGUUAUCCCAAUCAGUAAAUAAGAACAUUUUCCUAUGCACCAAAAUUUAGCUAGACAAAGGUGGAGUUUUGAUCUCAUAGCAUAAUAGCAAUUCAAAGAACCACCAAAGAAAAAAUAGUCCAACAAUCAAUAACCACCUGGCAGGGAAACUAAAGAUUCAAGCAGGAAGCAGACACUAUACAACAUUUUAAUUGAUGGGUAGGACAAGUGAAAGAAUAAACAUUUAUGGCCGGCAGUUUAAUCUUUGGGGCUACCAGGAUUAUGUGGGUGUCACUGAAGCCACACAGCCAGGAAAUCUUAAGACAGAUUGAUGGUGGGCCCAAUAAUACACAGCUUGGACCUACAAAUGCUAAACCUAAGUGUGGUUUAUAAACAGAGAACACAGAAUAUGCAAUUCAAGGCUCACAAAAUAAGUUAAACGUGAAAUAUAUAAUGAAAACCAAAUGAAGCUACACUCAUCAGUUGCUCUUAUUACACACAAAAAGUUGUAAGCAGCCUAUCAUGACUUGCUAUUUUUACAUGCAAAAGCAUGUAAGCUACAUAGCAUCAGUUGCUAUUAUUAUGUGCAAAGCUUGUAAAUAAUAAUAUUUGGGGGUCCCUCCAAACAAUUACCAGAACGGAACAUCUUUCAGUGUGCCGAAGAAAUUCAUGGCCUAAUCCAAAACCUCGAUGUGCACCCUCAAGCAGCCCUGGCAAAUCAGCCACUACCAUUGUUGCAUCAUAAUCAAAUGAAACCACACCCAGAUUUGGAAGCAAAGUGGUAAAGGGGUAGUUUGCAACAGCUGGCUGAGCAGCACUAAUAACACUGAGAAAUGUACUUUUCCCCGCAUUUGGAGCUCCUACAAUUCCAACAUCUGCAACCAACUUUAGCUCUAAUUCCAACCACCUGGUCAGGAAUAUUAUUACUUGGAGCAAUUAGAUAGGUCCACAAUGUGUUAUCGAAAAUAGAGGAAACAAAAACUGUAGUUAACCACUGUGGCCUGUCAUCCAAUCAAGGACAUGGUUCCUGAAAGAUUUGCUUUUUUCUUGGUUAUCUUUAUGGGCAUCAGACCAGCUGUGCGCACCGCGAGAGAGAGAGAGAGAAACAGACUUAGAUCAAGUCCACCUGUAUGAAUCAUUUUUUCAUUUGAUCGAUGUCAUGCACUCCAUGGGCUUUUCAUUUGCGGCAGUGAGUUUCUUGUAAGCAGUUUUGCUAGAAUUUGCAUAGAGGCUGACAAUGCGUUUGGCUAGUAUUCAAGGAGCUAUAUUCAUUUGCUAUCCAGAUAAUGCUUUUGAAAGAAUAUCUGUUUACAUUUUUCUUUGAUUUCUCAAAUUCUUAUAUUUUUCCACCUUUUGAAGUUCGUGCACAUCUAAAACAGCAUAGUCAUUGGCUAACACAACCUAGGUUAAACAACCAUUCUGAACUCUCCAUCAAAGAAACAGAGCAGACAUCAUAUAAGAUGCUGACUUAAUAGAUUAAAAUCUUUAGAAAUAGCAAAAGAACAAUCAUAUUUUCAGCAGUAAAAGAAACAAUUCAAAGAAGGAAUCUGAAAGUAAGAAGCACUCACAUUUCAGGACCUUUUUCUCCGUUCUCUGCAAUCUUAGGCACCUUAUUCAUCCCAGUUUUAAAUGAUGCAUUCCCUCUCCCACUUCUCCCUCCAGGUAACAACAAUGCCCUCUGCCCUGGCUGCAAUAGCUCCAAUAGCACAUCCCCUUGCACUCCACCUUUCCCAGCAGCCUCCUUAACAACUGUCCCAGGUGGGACCUUCACCACCACAUCCUCACCCUUUGCUCCAUUCUGCUUCCUCCCAUGCCCAUGCCCUCCCCUUCCUGCCCUAAAAUGCACACUCUGCCUAAAUGGCAAUAAAGAAUUCAUCGAACCAUCCACUUCUACAUACACGUUCCCUCCCCUCCCACCAUCCCCGCCAGAAGGACCCCCAAGUGGCACAAACUUCUCCCUCCUAAAAGCCACAACUCCAUUCCCUCCAUCCCCUGCUUUUACAUAUAUUUUCGCCCUAUCAAAACACCUCAUUACUGCUGGCACCCCUUUUUCUUUCUCUGUCAUUCCUUCAAACACAUUUUCAUCCCCACCAUCUCCAAAAACCAAUAUUUCAUCAUCCUCAUCAUCAAAAUCAUCACCACUUUCGUAAUCUGAAUCAGAACCCCCCUCAUAAAGCUCAAACUUCUCGUAAUCAAACCCAAAUUUCCCAUUUUCAUCCUCACUUUUAUCAUCAAAAUCCAAUCUUUCUCCAAAACCCUUCUGUUUUUUAGGGGGCUUUAAGUCAGAUAACUUCACUUCUCUAAUGGGAUUGUUCUGAAGGGGAAUAGAAAAGUCAUCUUUAGGAGGAAGGGAAGUGUAGGUGGUGGCUUCACCGCCACCUUGGACUGCUGAAGACGGGGCUGGAGCAUCUUUUAUGUUCAGUUUUCUGUUUUGAAUAGUUUUUUUCUUGGGGUUUAUGGAAAUAUUUUUCUUGGGGGCAGGUCUGUUUCUUGCUAGUGAUUGCGGGCAGAAGCAAAAAGCACUGCUAGAAGAUAUGGUGGGAGAAACCAUUUUUAGUUAUUUUUGGGUCAAGAAAAUGGAGACAGAAGCUACCUGCGGAGCUUUACUAAGAGAAUGAAAAUGAAAAAUAUUUUUGGAGGGAUAUUUGAUGAAGGAGGAGGAGUAUAUGUCCACGUGGCAUUAAAUUUUGGGCUCAGAUAUUUGAUGAAAGAAGGCAGCUUCCCUGCCACUAUGGGCUAGCCCAAAUCCCUAAUGAUCAGUUGGGUCUCGAAUUUCUAAAACUCGUGACAGAUAGGGCAGUCUUGUUUUUUAUUUUAUUUUCUUGAUUUGUUGGUCUGUUAUCCACUUUGUCGGAGGGAGGGUGGUGUUGCUUGAACAUUAUUUUCACAACUAUUAUUCAAAUAAAUGCCAAAAUUUGGCCUUCCAAGUCCAAGUGCAAAGUAGUUUUAUCAUUUUAAAAAGAAAUUUUUUUUUUGUAGAAAUAAAAGAAUUCUAACUGUGACAAUACCAUUUGUAAUUAUGUGAUUUAGUCAGGUUUUUUUCCUCUUAUAUAAUGAAGAAAUAUGAAUAGAUUAACUGUUGACGUUUCGAGAAAUAAUAACAAAAAAAAAAAGUUCUUACGAGCGAUCAAUUCUUAUCAUAAUCUGGGAAUUAUUCUCCAAUUCCAAGUUUAUGUGAUUGCAUAGUUUUAUAAUCCCACUGCAACUGCAACUAGGACGGGGUUCGCUUGAUUAAUCCCAUUUAUGUCGUGGGAACGUGUAAGGAAUAAAGAUUGAUGAAUACUAGUUCUUAGUUUAAUUACAACUUUGUUUUCCAGCAUGCACAGAUUUCUAUUCUAGAUAACAUCAAUCUUGUGACUAGACGUGAAGUCCUUUAAAUUUGAGAACGGAGUGUGAAAAUUUGAAUGCUGAUCAGCAAUAUUUUGCGAAAACGGACGAUGAAGAAGCAAAUAACUUGCCGAAAAUUUCAGAAAAUAAAGGGAAUGUAGCGUGGUCGUAAAAGAUAGUAGUCAGAUGAAAAGGAUAAGUUUCAAGAACUUGAAAAGAUCUUCCUAGCUUAGAAGAAGAUUAUUAGGAAAUAAAUUAAGAACGGCGUGGUCCUUUUUAACAACUUGCAGCUCAAGGAAUUUCAACUGAUCCAUCACUGAUCACUAAUAAUGGGAUUCUGAAGUUAUUCUGCUGUUGAUGGUGACAAAAACAUGUUGAAGAUUCAAGAGGCAAGAAAAGGAAUGUUACUAUUUUGGUGCCAAAGAGCAGAACACUGGCACAAAAGGCUGGCUAACCUAUUUAAUAAGUAACUUUCAUAAAUAUCAAAUGGAGAUUGUUGUGCUCAUGCAAUAACAAUAAUAAUACUAACAAAACAAAACAAAAAAAUUUCUUGCACUGAACAAAACUGUGGCUUCAAUGUGGCCACAGCUUCUCCAUAGAACAAUGGGCUAACGAACGAUACCAUUUUUCUCUUAUCUAGGCUUCCGGCCAAUAACUUGACAUCCAAUGGCCAAGAUCAAGAUAAAGGGGACCUUAGAUGAAAUGACGAGAUCAAGAAAUGGAAGAUUAGAUCAUCUUAGAAUAUAUUGUUAGCAAGUAAAAGAAAGCGUGGUCCGUUUACAACUUGUGUCUCAACUCAAGUAGUACUAAUUUCAACUCCAUCACUGAGCAUGGGCUUCUGAAAUUAUUCUGCUGUUGCCGACAGCUAGCAACAAGAUCAUCUUGAACGUUCAAGAGACAAAAGGGAAAAAAAAAAAAAAAGAUAUGUAAUGUAAAGUGCUUCUCUUUCGACAAGAAAAGAAUUUUCGAUUCAAGGGACAAGAACAUCUUGAAGAUUCAAGAGACCAAAAUUGUGCCUUUUUCGAUUAAGUUAGCAGAAUUUUAGCUCAUAUAUACCACGGGAAAAAACAGUUAGUAGAAUUUUAUGCACUAGCUAGAAGAAAAUGGACGAGAAAAACAAUUAAUUGCCUGAUGGUAUUCCCCGGCCGGCAUGCAGUUCGUUCCAUAGGUUAAUUAGCCAUGAGUUAAGUCUAGCUUGGGGGGCUAGUUGUUAGACUGAAUUAAGUACUUCGGCAUCAAUGUGGCCAGAUUUUCUCCACGGACAAAUGAGCUCCCGAAUGUUAUUUCUUUCUUUCUUUUUUGCCAAGAUAGGUUGCUGGCCAGUGAUUCCUUAUCCCAUUCCCAACUAAGUUAUAGAAUCAACCAAAAAAAAAAAAAGUAAGUUAAACAAUCAAUAACUUGAUGCAGGGAUGGGUUUGUUGUUUGAAUUUGGACCUUUUUUUUCAAGUCACAAGCAAAUUAAUUGGGUGGUUUGGUUUGUAAAAUAUAUCAGUACCUCGUCAUCCAGUCCAGGGAUGGCUCUUCCGAAGAUCAUGCAAAGCCAUCAAACCCUCCAUACAUAGCUUCCUUAAUUUGGCUUUCAAACAAUAACUUGCCAUAACUUGAUAUAAUAAUAUUUGCAAUGUGAAAAAUGUACAUAAAAUCUGGUUGCGAUGAGAUACAAUAAUGUGUUAAAAAAUUGUUAUAUUUGUUCAAGAAUAGUUCCUGCCUCUCUUCCUAAAGCAGUAUCCAAAUGCACAAAAGCAGAUUAGGACAAGGAAUGGAAAAUAGUGUGUAACGUUCUACUGAUAUAGAAACUGAACAAUUCAAAGUAUGGACUUUGCAUGAGCAAUGAGUGCUGGGGGAUUUAGUUAUCUAUAAAUAGAAGAGAAGCAGGCAGGCAUUUUGCGCAUCAGGAGCACAAAACAAACUAGUACUAGUCAAUGAAGAUGAUGAUGAAUCCCCCAAUGUUGUCCUUCCUGGGUCUCCUUGGCUUCAUCGUGAUGCUGUUGGUGACUCCUCCACUAGACGUCUCCGGCAGCGGCAUGCUGUACAAAGGCCUAACAAUCUCAGCUCUGAACAUAACGGGCCGAGUAGCGUGCUCCACAUCAUCCAACCCUCCGGCCAGCACCCCAGGGAUCGGCGGCGUGUUGAAUCUUACCUUCACCUGCAAUGGGGGUGCCACCAAACUCGGCAGCGUUCUGACUGAUCCCGAAGGGUUCUUUGAUUUCCUUGCAACCUUCAUCGAUGGCCUUGUCACCGACGAUACAACGCUGCCUUGCGUGGUCACCGUGCCACUUCCUGCAAAUUCCAGCUGUUCAGUUUUUCCUCCAAAAGCAGUCCUAAGAGCUACUCUUCGCAUCGUUGGUGUGACUGUUAAUGCUCUUCUCGGUUUGGUUUGUAUUGUCAACAUUGGCGAGUUAACCAGUGCUGCUGCUGUCAACAUUUAGUCCAAAAUGACCCCAUGGACGUGCCUGAUGAUGAGUGAUGACCACCACGUCUUCAUUCUUCGAUCAACUGAUCUUGUUUUGCAUCAUGUCAGAAACACUAUUGUAUACUUUAAAAUUUCGAAUGCUUAUUUUGUGUGCAUCUCGUCCAGGAUGAUAAAUAACGUAUAAAUGUUCAUUGAAUGAAGUUUGUUGAACCAGUUUAUAUUUAUGCGCUUCGUGCAGAAUCAUAUAUAAUAGUAACAUGCAGCUUCAUUUCUUCAGUAAGUACCAUAUAUAUACCACCAAACACAAAACCAGUUCGCUCAAAACACUAAAACGCUAUAUAUACAAAUGCUGCUAUUUUCCAGUCCAGAGUUCCUUCGUGUGCCGGAUUUUUGGAAGCUGUGGUUGAUGACAGUAUAAGAUUUGUCACUAGCUCAUGGUCUGGCUUUCUGAGAACUCAGGAAAAUCGGGAACUGGUACUUAGAUUGGCAUUAUCAUCUGGUGUAAUAGUCUAGGAAUUUCCGUAUGUAUGUAAGAAUAUGCAAUUUCUCAAAUCACUAAAAAGUUCACACACAACACACACACACAUACACAUAUAUAUAUGUAUGUAUGUAUGUAUAUAUGCGCACUGUAAUUUCACUUGAAUUGUGGCGCAGUAGCUAGAUCUGUACAUGAAAGUUGAAACCCUUUUAUUGUAAUUUAUGAAACUGGUGAUAGAGAAUUAGAGUUUUAACUUUUAACUAGACUCAAAGUAUCUCCACCAUGUAUCUAGAGUAGCUUCUUUAAGUAUGCAACACUAUACAGUUGCCUAGGGGACUAGAGUCUUACCAAGAAAAAAGGGAACUUUCGUCAUUAGUGUAGAGGAUUGCCAAUUAAUUCCUCCCUCCCCACCAACAAACAUGGAAGAAAAAUCCCAUACAAUGUGAUUAUAGAAGCCUAGAUUUUGCGUAACUUAGGUGUUUGAUCUCUUCUAAAACUCUUCGAAGGAAGCAUAUAUGAAUAAAGGCCAAACACCAUACUAUUGCCUAGCUAUCGCUCUUAUAUAUCUCCCUUCCUAAUUCCUUGCAUGCAGUAUCGCUCUUAUAAGACGAGCAUGAACGGAGAAACAAGUGAUGUUAAAAAUCGUGAUGAUACCAAAAGGAUCCGUCGUCAAAUCAUCAAAUGUUCAGAAGAGGCAGUAAGAUAUCUAUGGCAAUAAGAUAUAUCAUAUCAUAGAGUAAAAACACAAAUUCGAAGGACUGGCAGGAUAUGUACAUCAGCAAACUCGUUCCUCCCAAGCAAAAUGAACACAAACUAGUUAGUUCCUAAACAAUGUUAGCAUCUAAACAUAGCGCUAAACACAAAAUUCCAGACACAAGCACUUAACAAGCCAAAUUUUAUCCAAAAAUCCUUCCACAGGCCUGUCAACUGCAUGGCUGCGAAAGAAAAGACUCCAUAUAUGCCCCAGUGAGCCCAACUGUUUGAACAUGUUCGAAUGCCCGGUCAAUACCUUACAAUCCCCUGAAGAUGCUGCUCCAGCUGCAGCCAUCACCCCAUCACCAUCUGUUUGUGAUAACUCUACAACCAUCGAGCAAACUGGAUUUACGGACCCCAAGUCCCGGAUAUACUUCUUCCCCAUUUUCUUCAGACCCACAUUACCCAAAACAUGAACAAGAGAAUCAGGAAGACAACCCGGCUGUCACAUCCUUCAGCACUGAAAGCGCCAACGCGUUAUCAACAGCAAUGGACACAGAGUCAAAAGUGGCAUUCAGGAAUUCUUGACGGCUCUCCCCUUGAUGAAAUACAGGAACGAUGGUCACCCAAAGCGGGUUCUGGUGGAAAUAAGCAACCGUCACCAGAUUAGUGUAGUCCAGGGCAUGAUUCUCAGACGGGUUCGCGAUUUUCAAUUUGAUAACCCACACUGCUGUGAUAUUAUAGGCUGUAGAGAUAAUGUACGGGCUGGAAACCAAAUCAAACUUGACCGGAUCAGCACUGUCUGAGUAGAUGGCGUACUAGGGGACGAUAACAAAGCCUGGUACGAUAAUUGAUGCUAAUGCCAGAAAGGAGUGUCGCAGCACCAAGAAUCCCACGCAGCCCAGAGAAACCAAGGUUGCAGACAUGGAGACGGGGCUCAAGUUUCUUGGCAUCAGCAAGAGCAGCAGUUUCGUUAUCAGUUUUUUUAGUUCCGUCUUGGUUCGACUUGAUGUGUACUGUUUCUUGUAAUUAUGCUUAAAAUUUUGAGAGCUAAACUUCAGAUAUAAACUUUCUAUUUAAGUGAUUCUUCCCCCACCUUCUUGAUGACUCAAUUCGGUAAGCUUUUAAGUUAGACACGAAAUAUUUUAUCAAUCAAAUUGUGCCAUUUGUCAACAUUUAUCUAAUGUUAACACAUGUUGGACUUUAUUUCUGUGCAGAUACUGUUAAUCGGAUUGUCCAUAUAUUCAAUGUAUAAUCUAGUAAUUGAUUGUAAGCAUUAGAUCGGUGAAAGCAUAUGUGUCCACUCAAAUUAAACAGCCCUGUGAAAAUAUUAUUUUCAUCAUUCACAUAACCAAUCAUUACAAAGUCUUCACAAUGAAUAUAUCCAACAGUUGUUUCCUCAUAAUUUGGUGGAAGAUGCAGUAGCAGGACCUAGAGCUAGAGACUAAUGAAACAACAUGAACAUUUGGAAUUGAAGUUUUCACUGAUUCAACACUGUUAUUUCUGUUGAACCAAUUACUCACACAACUCUAGAGUGAAACAAAGGGGUUGAUAACUCAAUAUACUUCUAGCCUAUUGCAACAAUAUCAAUUACAAUUGAUUUGAGCCUCUUUUCUGGCCCUGAUUUCUGUCUCAGAAUCUCCUCUGAAAGAGAUAUGUUGUAGAAAAAUGAUCCAAACUUUGCUUGCUGGCUUCUUUUUUGCUAAUUCCAGAAUGCCUGCUUCGAAGAUGAUCGACUUCACUGAUACAUAUUUCUUUAUUUCCUUUUCCACAUUCUUCUUUCACAUCUUUGCUUGUGACAUUGUUUUAAUUUGUGAAUAGUUGGCUUCCCAGAGUGACUAUUGUACCUUCACCUGCUACUGUUGUAAGCAUGAUCUCUUUCUCCAGUAUCUGAUCAAGCUCUAUGGCUACCAUCUCCAUAGUUGGCCUCAAUCUUCCCGGAAAGCUCAUGCAUCGCAACAUCAGUCUGAUCAAAUCCCUCAUGCCCUCCUCUGUAAAGCUCCCAACUAGCCGAUGAUCAACCAUGUUGUUUGAAUCCAGAUGCCUUUCAACCUAGGUUUAUACACAGGGAGUUUUUAACAUUAUAAUGCAAUUCUUAUGCAAGUGUUUGGUGCAAUUAUUGUGUUACAGUUACGGUUUUCCUUAUUUUAGCAUCACAUAUGUAUGUGCAGAAGUCUGUACAAGUAUUGUGUUUGGUGCCUUUUUUGUUUUUUUGGGCUUAGAAAGUAUGUGCAAGAGAAUUAGACCUGGGUAAAACUAAAUAAUCUGAAUUGGCUGAUAAAAAUGCGUGAAGUUAUAUAUCAACACUUCACUAGUUAAAUAGUCAAGAUCAUCCAAGUUUAAUUUCUUAUUAAGACUUCUACCCUAUGCUUGGGAUCUGCAUCACAAUCGCAAUGGAAGAAUUUCCUAAAGUUGCCCUAAUCAUAAAUAUUUGCCCGCUAUUCCCUGUAGUGAAGAAGAAAAUGGUCAAGAAAUAACUUUCAGAGGGCUUCCCACUUUUUCCCUGUUGAUUUAUAUGCAUUAGUGAAUAUUGACUUAUAACGUCAAUGAAGUCCUGCAGUCUCAAAACCCGAGAAACUUUUCAAGUUUUUUACCACAAAAUCCUUAACCAUCCAGAACAAUCGCAUCUCUUCUUUGCACUUGAAUUAGUGAGCAUUGCUCUUACAUACCCAUGUCACUACGCUUUCACUGGAUCCGAAGGCGCCCAUAUGAGAAGCAUCCAUUCCAGUUAUGAGCUCCAAUAGAAAUACGCCAAAGCUGUACACAUCACUUGUUUCAAAAAAUCUACCCAUUUUGACCAUCCUAGACAACGGAAUACGUAUUGAAUAAAUCAGUAUCAAAGACAAUUUCAUCAUUGAAAUAUGCAGUUCUUCCCUGUAAGUGUUGAAACUAAAUAAAAAGUUUGGCCAGAAGAGUUCGGUUUACUCUGGAUCUCUGAAAGCAUUGGCACUUGUGGAAGAUGGACCUGCAUAUUCAAAUUUCCCCAGUAAUAUUGAGAGCCCUGCAUCUGCAACUUUAGCAGUGAAGUUCUCAUCAACCAAGACAUUGGCUGUCUUGAAGUUUCCAUGCACUAAGGGAGGGAUUUGGCCAUGCAAAUAGCAUAAACCUGAAAUGGAAUACGGUUGUCAUUUUUUAUCUGCAGGUAACUUCUUGGAAAAUGAAGGCGUCAGUACGAGAAAAGCUUAAUGAUGCUAUAAGUUUCCAAAAAAGGAUACCUUUUGCUGCUCCAAGAGCUAUAGCCAGCCUUUGCCUAAAUUCCAGUUUUGGCAUUCCUUCUUUUCCAGUGUCUGCCAAAACAAGUUCGUAUGACAUACAUAAAUACAUCUGAAAAUCGAGAUAUAUGCACCUUGAGUACAAAAAUUUUACCAUAUAAAUGGUUACAGAUGCUGCCAUUUGGUAAAUAUUCAAAAAUUAGCAUUUGGUAGCUACCAUCCUGGAAGUAGCCAAGAAGUGUAACAAGGUUCCUGUGAUGAAUUCUUGAUAAGCCAAUCACCUGUCAUCAUAAUUUCAAUCAGGCAAGAAUAAAAAAUAAAUCAAUUUCAAGGGUAAAUUUUGACACUCCAUGUUACAGGAAUUGAGGAAACUUGUCCACAUGGCACACAAGGAAUCCAUAUUAUUCUGUCAGAUAAUUAUUAGGCACCAGAUUCAUGCAUUGCUUCGGAACUGAAAACUUGAAAAGGUGUAGACAACAAGAUGAAAUUGAGGACCACUAGUUAUAUUCUUUAUACACUCGAGAUAAAUUUAUCCUAAAAAUAUGGACAGUUGAUGAGGUGCAUGCUGAAGAAAUAUUGGAGACAAAUAUUAUCUUGGCUUUGAGUUUCAUACUGUAACUUUGUUUUACCUCUUCAACAAAUUCUCGUCUAGGAGCACCAGUCAGCCUCUUGACAGCCACAACAGUACCAUCACAAAGCAAUCCUUUAUAGACCAGACCAAGGCUUCCACAUCCAAUGAGAUUGCCCUCAUCAAAAUUUCUGGUAGCUUGUUCCAAUUCUUCCAAUCUGAAUUGCCUUGCUUCCUGUGGUCCCGCUAGGGGUGGCGAUGUGGACGAACUGGCUCCACCUCUUUUCAACUCCACUAUAUUGCCUUUGAGCAGCAAGUUAGAGGAAGAAGAAUGGCAAGAGAUUGAAAAUUCCUCUAUGUUUGACAAUUACCUACUGCAGAUGGAUCUGAAGAACCCGUCUCUGAGUUCUUAUUUGACGGCUUUUGACAAUGUGAAAUGCAGAACCAAAAAAUCAAGCUGAUUACCACCAAGAAUGCUAGAAUUCCUCCAACACCUCCAACUAUGGCUGCAAUUGAAGUUGCCAUGCAGUAAAGAAUCCACACCUUCCUCAGGAGAUCUGCACAUUGAACCUGUGAUAUGAAAUGAAUCUGUAAAUAGAUUUCCCAGGUCAUGAUCAUGAACAUGAUUUAGUAACUGUCAUCGUCUUAAAAAUUAGCAACUUCUACCUCUAAACUAAUGAAAGAAAUCAGAACUGGCCCUAACUCUAAAGUAGAGAAGUUUCUUGACACUUGCUUCUCCUAAAUUACCAAGUUCUUAAAGUACCUCGUUAUGAUAACAAUCCCCAGAACCGCAAACUGGCUGAUACUAAGUCUAUCAAUUUGGGGAACAGCAGCUAUGGAAAGGAGCAAUGCUGCCAUUUCUUUUUACCAGAGACAACUCAUAUGCAUUUCAAUGUACCCCACUUCAAUUGUCGUCCAUGUCUUUGCAUAUUAUCAACAGCAUGGAAACUAGGGAAUCUAGUAAAUAGGACGCAUCAUCCUUUCUUAGCAAAAGAAUCCAUUGAUUGUGUUAUAUUCUCCAAGCUGACUGCAGCUUUUUCUUUUUUCUUGUUCACUUUUUACCCUUGUUCCCACUUCAACAUGAUGUCAGUUCAUUGCUCUUGCCCACCGACUCAAUUGAACUAAUCAAUGUAGCAUCAUAGAUUCCUUACAUACCUGACAAAAAUAUUUGUACUUAAAAGUUUCAGUACCUUUUAAUCUGAGCAGAAUGACCAGUGCUGCCGCAAAAUACUGACUUCGCCACUUGGAUUGUGUUUACAGCAUAUUAUUGAUAUCUGUCAAGUAAUUCCACAUGGUGCAUUUUAUUCGCAGAAUACCACGUAGACAAAACAAUUAGAAUAUACUUGUGUUAAUACUUAAUAUCCGUACAGGAAAGAUGUGGCCAAAAGUUGGAUGCCCAUGUGAGGUGCUCUAACUCUAAGUGGGCUGUAAAGUUUGAUUUUUACUAGGACGUGGACACUGACCGAGUCUGAUUUUCUGUCGAACAGACAAUGCAAGACAUAUAAUUAUUGAAUGGGAUCCAGAGAAAGGUAGCUAUCAUUCCAUGAAAUCCCAAUCUUUUCAUUUCAUUCACUAUAUCUGCCUUUUCGCACCCCCCCCCCUCCCCCUUCCCCCCUCUUUUUUUCUUUUUUUGUCAUCUGACCUGGAAAGAUGAGGGUGAUCGGUUAUUACUCCCUGAUACAGGACGAGUCCAUUCUUGAUCAUCACGACAGAAAAGCCAACGAGGCAUCACAAUAGCAAGACACAUAGGCUUUCAACUUCGGGGCAGGAUGUCAUUGUUCUGCUUUCCAGUGUAUUAGUGACGGAUGGAGAUGAAGUAUUUGUAGUUUACCCUGGUAUGAAUAUGAUGGCCUUUGUGGGAUUUAUAUUUUUUGAAAAAUGUUAAAGAGUUUGAGCUGUGAAGUGUGAGAUAACGAGGGGGAAGAUUGUCUAGCUGUACAGCUCUGUUGUCACUCCCUCUCCUACUGUCUACUGUCCCAUUUGUUUGUUUUGUAUCUUUCCCUGAGUUUGUUUUCGUCAGAGUUGGGCUGUAAAGCAGAAGGGGAAUGGUGGAAGGGGGGUUGUCAUGUUCUGAAGGACUCUAGGCUGAAUGCAAGUGAGGCCUCUGUUCUUUCUUUCUCUCUCAAACACUGAAAGAGAUUGAUAUUGUGGGGGAAAGGGUCGAUAUCUCAAAUUGGAUAUCAUUUGGAUCUGCUGUCUGUGUCCUUGGAAGCAAGUGGGGAUGUUUGUUUUAUAGGCCUUUUGUGGUACAAAGAUUGUUCUUCCUCAACACCUCUCUUGUGUUUCAUUAGCUUUUGUGCUUUUUGGUUGCACUAGCAUUUUAUGCUGUUGAAUUAAUGAAAGGAGUCCUCCGCAAAUUUCACUUUGUAAAUCGCUUGAUGAUUUCCUCAUCUGCAAGUUUGGUGUGGUAGAUUACCUAAGUUAAGUGGCGGGGUGGCAAGUGGCAAAUGGCAAUAAUCUCAUCAUCAAGUGCUCUGGUCUUGUGAUGGUGGACCAUUUGAUGUGAAUGACUGCAACACAUACGUCCAACUAAAUCCUACCGGUUAAGAUUGUAGCCUUGUUCUCCUUCGUUGUAUGACUUGGUGAUGAAACGUGAUUAUAGAGAACAUUCGGAAUCAGCAAAAGCUACUUCUUGAUAGAUUAUGAAUUUUAGCUUUUUUUUUUAACUAUUGAAAAAACUAUAGUUUAAAUACACAAGCAAAUAAGAACGUCAAAAAACUGAUUAUCCAAAAUCAGAUUCUAUAAUCAACCGAGAACAAGCCUUGUAAUUCACUCUAGAUCAUCAAAUCACCAUUGUGCCAUUCUCAUGUACACUGCUUCUUCUUCUUCUUCUUCUUUUUUUUUUUUUUGUAUUUUUGAAAUUUAACACUUUAAAUCAUUCAAUAUGCAUAGUCUUUACACCAGUGACUUGAGCCAUGGUUCGCCAUCGCAGGUCGCGGUUGCGUCGCGGUCUCGAUUGUUUCACAUCCGUCAUGGUAUAUCGGGUAAUACGCACAUUAUAACACAUGAAAGUUUUCAAAAAUUUUGAAAAAAAAAUUAUUAAAAUUAGAAAAUACCAAAAAAUGUACAAUUUAAAAAAAUAUCCGAGUUGACUCGGAUAUAUCGAUCGAUAUCAUGCAUCACGGAUUCAAAUCGACCAAUAUCGACCGAAUCAGAGCAAGUCGUUGCGGAUAUGGUAAUAUCUGCGAUUCGAGAAUCAGUAUCGUACCGAUCCCCACCGUUCCGGUUACGAUUUAGCCAAUACGUAUCGGUAUCGGCGGAUAUUGCAAACCAUGACUUGAGCAACCACAGAACAUGAUGGGGGCCAGUCUAUAUGGGGACUGAGAGACUUGGUGCCUCGGAAAUCCACUUUCUCAUGAGCCAUAAAAGAAGUUCAGGUUCCAUUUUGUGGGCAACAUUGAAUACAAAUUGACAGUUAGAUGUCAGUUCUAGUUCUAUGCUACUUUUUUACUCAGAGAUGCUGAUCGAACAAGGAGCAGCAGCAAUCGUGAGGCAACUGCGUAAAUGUGUUUCCUCCGGCAACCCGUUUUAGAUCACUUUCACCAUGAACUGUUGACGACGUGCAUUGUCGAAUUUUGAACUAGUGAUCUGCUCUGCAUGGUUGGUUUCAAGUCUUACAACGUACAUCCGAAUGCAUAGAUGUAUAGCACCCGCAAUUCAAACCCAAACAUCAUAUUGCAAUAAUGUAGCACCCAGAAAAAAAAGAAAAAGAAAAAAAAGAGUACUACCUUGUUACGCGUUUUCAGUAUAUUUUAAUUUCCCCAACUUUUCCACCCUUUGCUUACGCAGGUUAGAUCACAUUUCCUCUUCUCUGAUUGUACGAACUGCAAUUGAAUGUACUGUGGGAAUCAAAGAAGUGGCAGCGUCACAAACUUAGCCCUGUAUGGCAAGGUCCUUCUUCUGGAAUCUUGUUAUGGUUCAGAAAUUAUCAGUUUGGCUUUUGCUUGCAAGUGCAGCCUCUUUACUUUUUUUGGUUUUGUUUUUACUUCUUGAUGUGUCACAUCCUGCUCAAGUACUUUUCCUCUUCAUCUGCAUCUCUGUGGUUCCCCAACUAACCAAAUCAGACAUGAUUUCAAUUUUCAAGCAACCAUAAAUAAAGUUGCCUUGCCAAAAACACUAAAGGCUGAAACUGUAGUGAAUGAUGGAAGAUAAUUAAAAACAUAGGAGGUAAGCUGCGUCCCUCUAAAGAUCAUAGUGGAAUCUUGAAAGGUUCUUUGCAAAGAAGACGACUUUUCUGAUGCUAAGCCUACCCUCCGCAAAAGGAAAUCUUUACGAGUUAAAGGCCCCAAAAAAAAAAAAAAAGAGUUUGGAGUAAACUUACAGUAACAUAAUCCUGUCCGAGUAAAUUGGCAGCUAAAGACUUGGGAUCCAUCCUAUUUUCUAGAAAAGAAGAAAAAGGGCACCCCAACCAAGAAUAUCUGGAGACAACAUGGUCCUCUACUCAAUUCUAAAGACGAAGACUGGGUCCUUUAUGGCUUCUCAUGUACAUUUUUUAGGUAGUUUUCGUCGUCUUCUUGCAGGCUAUUAGCCACCAUUGGACAAAAGUGCCUCAAAUAAUUCCAAAUUCUACGAAGAAUAUGUGCCAGUCUCUGAAUAUCCAUUUAAUCAACCCAAACAGGGUAUUAUGCCAUCCAUCCCUUUGUAUUCCCUCAACGAGAGUAGGCGUAAGAAUUUAUACUCAUUAAAAAAAAAAAAAUUCAUUCAACUGAAACUCUACAAGGUGAGAGCCUUAUGUAGAAAAAAAAAAUUCUGGAACUUUAUCACCCUCAGAUUCAAUUAUUCUUAAGGGCCAUUUAGAGUCAAAUUAAGAACGCAUAAAUUCUACUUUAUACACUUACAUGAAAACAGUCUCUCAGACAAGUCAAAGUUAAAUUCAAUACCCACUGUAGGUGAACACUCCUGACAAGUAAAACAUACAUUCAUCAACCAUUGUAGAUAUGGGGACCCUUAAAACAAAGGAGGGGUCAACAAAAACAGAUCUUUCAUCCUGACAUAUUUACAAGUCUACACGAGCUGCAUCUGUUAACCUAACAUCAAAUAACAUAGGAAAAUUAGCAGUUUCUUUGGUAUCUCUACAGUUACCAAGCCAAGUUACUACCACAUUUAUGCACUAAAUUAC